CCCCGCCCCGCCAAGGAGGGCGCCGGGCAGCCGUGCGGAGGCGGUGCGGAGCCGCCCGGGGCGCGCCGGUCCCCACAGCGUGACGGUGGCAAGUUACGGACCCAGGUCUCCCCAUUUGUAAAAGCGGUUAGGAAGCCCAGGCCCAGAAUGCAGGCGACUUGCCCAGUUUCAGGUGUACAACAUAAUCAUUCAGUGAUUACAUACGUCACAAAACGCUCACCUCGGUAAGUAUAGUUACCACCCGUCACCAUACCAAGUUAUUACAGUAUUAUUGACUGUAUUCUUUGCGCUGUACUUUUUAUCUCUGUGACUUCAUUACUUUACAACUGGAAGUUCAUACCUCUGAAUCUUCUUCACCUAUGUUUUUUUAAAACUUUAAAAAAUUUUCUUUAUUUUGAGAGAGAGAGAGUGCUAGUGGGGAAGGGGCAGAGAGAGGGGGAGAGAGAAUCCCAAGCAGGCUCCAUGCUCAGUGCAGAGCCUGACUUGGGGCUUGAUCCCAUGACCGUGAGAUCACAACCUGAGCUGAUAUCAAGAGUCGGACACUUGGGGCAUCUGGGUGGCUCAGUUGGCUAAGCGGCCGACUUCGGCUCAGGUCACGAUCUCACAAUUCGUGGGUUCAAGCCCCACGUUGGGCUCUGUGCUGACUGCUCAGAGCCUGGAGCCUGCUUCGGAUUCUGUUUCUCCCUCUCUCUGCCCCACCCCUGCUCUUGCUCUGUCUCUCUCUCCUUCAAAAAUAAAUAAACAUUAAAAAAAAAAAAAAGGGACACUUAACCAAUUGAGCCACCCAGGGGGUCCUUAAUCCUCUCCCCUCUGGCAACCACCAGUUUGUUCUCUGUAUUUAUGAGUCUUAAACAUGUAAUCUUUAUGAAACUAAAACACAAAUAGAUACAUAAGUCAAUGGAAAAGAAUAGAAUGUCCAGAAAUACACCCAAAUAUUUGUAGGAAUCUAGUAAAUAAAAGUGUGGCAUUUCAAAUCAGUAGGGAUAUCUAAAAAGUAUUGGGACAGUUGGUUAGAUAUGUGGGAAAAAAAUCUGGGUUCUUAACUCUUGCCUUAUACCAAAAUUAAUUCUAAUUUGAUAAAAGAUUUGAUUAACUAGAAAAAAAUUAAACCAUAAGUUUGCUAGAAGUAAACAUGUGAAGCCAUUUAAAAAAUUGUAACGGUGUUGGCGGGGAAAGGGCCUUUCUAAGUAUGAUACAAAACCUUGCCUGGAGGUAAAAAAAGCAUAAAUAAAAUGAAAGAUCGAUGCCUCUGAAAAAUAUUUGCAACUCAUGUCACAAAGGGCUAAUUUCCUCUGCAUGUAAAGAGGUCUCAGCAAUCAGUGUGAUAGGCAUUUCUUCAAAGACAGUCUAUAGAUGGCUAAUAAGAACAGGAAAAGGUGCUCAGCCAUGCUUAGCCAUUAAGGAAAUGCAAAUCAAAACCACAGUGAGGAUGCCUGGGUGGCUCAGUCGUUUAAGCGGUUAAGCGGUUAAGCGGCUGACUCUUGGUUUUGGCUCAGGUCGUGACCUCACAGUCGAGGGAUUGAGCCCCGCGGCAGCCUCUGUGCUGGGCUCCCUGCUGGAUUUGGAACCUGCUGAAGAUUUUCUCUCUCUUCCUCUCCAUCUGCCCCUCCCCGCCCCACUCUAAAAAAAAAAAAAAGAGUGGAGCAGGGAGGGGAGAUAACAAGUCCUGGAGAGGACUUGGAGAAACUGGGACCCUCAUACAUUGCUGGUGGGAAUGUAAAAUGGUACAUCUGUUUUGGAAAACAGUUUGACUGUUCCUCAAAAUGGUGAACAUAAACAUAGAGUUACCUUAAGACUAAGCAAUCCACUCUGAGGUAUUUUUUAGAGGCGCCUGGGUGGCUCAGUAGGUUGGGCGGCCAACUUUGGCUCAGGUCAUGAUCUCACGGUCCGUGAGUUCGAGCCCCGCGUCGGGCUCUGUGCUGACAGCUCAGAGCCUGGAGCCUGUUUCAGAUUCUGUGUCUCCUUCUCGCUGACCCUCCCCUGUUCAUGCUCUGUCUCUCUCUGUCUCAAAAAUAAAUAAAACGUUAAAAAAAUUUUUUUUCAAAGAGAAAUUAAAAGAUGCAUCCAACCUAGGGUGCCUGGGUGACUCAGUUAGUCCGGCAAUCGACUGUUGAUUUCAGCUCAGGUCAUGAUCCCAGGGUGGGGGGAUCGAACCCCAUAUCGGGCUUGCACGGAGCAUGGAGACUCCUUGGGAUUUUCUCUCUCUCUCUCUCUCUCUUUCUUUCUCCCUCCCUCUGCCCCUCUCCCAUGCUUGCUCGAUCUCUCUCUCUCCAUUACCUCUUUCUCUCCCUAAGCAAACAUAUGUCCACUCCAAAACUGUUACAAUAACGUUCAUUAUUUAUAAUAGUCACAAAGUGGAAACAACCCAAAUGUUCAUCAACCGAAGAAAGAGGAAUACCAACUGAGGUGUAUCCCUGCAAUGGAAUAUCAUUCAACAAUAAAAGGGAAUGAAUUUCUGACAUCUGCUGCAACAUGGGUGAACUUUGAAAACAAUAUGCUAAGUGAAAGAAGUCAGCCAUAUGAUUCUAUACGUGUGAACUAAACAUCCAGCAUAGGCAAGACUAUGUCGAGAAUAGAUUAGUGGUUGCUUCAGUCCGGCAGGGGUGGUGAGGACUGGAGUUGGGGGGCAGGGACUAAUAAUGGGUACCCUGGGUUUCUUAUUGUGAGGGAGACGAAAUGUUCUAAAAUCCAACGGUGGUGAUGAUUGCACAGCCUGCGAAGAGACUAAAACCCCUGAACUGUACAACUUUAUGUAGGUGAGCUUUGUGGGAUGUGAAUUGUUUCUUAAUUAAGAUGUCAACCAAAAUUUAAUACAAACAAGACCAGAAACAAAAAGGAAAAUGGACGUGAACAUAAGCAGACAAUCCAUGGAAAGGGAGGUGCCUCUUAGACCCAUGAAAAGAGGUUCAGCUUCACUCAUAAGAAGAGAAAUAUAAAUUAAAAUGAUAAUGAGUACCAUUUUCACCUAUUUGGGAGAUUUUUUUAAAAUAUUUUUUUAAGUUUAUUUUUAAUUAUUUUGAGAAAGAUAUGGAGAGUGUGUUGGGGAGGGGCAGAGAGAGGGGGAGAGAGAGAAUCCCAAACAGGCUCCACGCUGUAAGGGCAGAGACAGAUGCGGGGCUCGAACUCAUGAAUUGUGAGAUCAUGACCUGAGCUGAAACCAAGAGCUGGAUGCUUAACCGACUGAGCCACUUAAGCACACCUGGGAGAGUUUUUAAAAAAAAUGUUUAU